AACGAACGCUGGCGGCAUGCCUAACACAUGCAAGUCGAACGAGACCUUCGGGUCUAGUGGCGCACGGGUGCGUAACGCGUGGGAACCUGCCUUUAGGUUCGGAAUAACUCAGAGAAAUUUGAGCUAAUACCGGAUGAUGUCUUCGGACCAAAAGAUUUAUCGCCUUUAGAUGGGCCCGCGUAAAGAUUUAGCUAGUUGUGGGGUAAAGCCUACCAAGGCGACGAUCUUUAGCUGGUCUGAGAGGAUGAUCAGCCACACUGGGACUGAGACACGGCCCAGACUCCUACGGGAGGCAGCAGUGGGGAAUAUUGGGACAAUGGGCGAAAGCCUGAUCCAGCAAUGCCGACGUGAGUGA
rnacentral:rRNA from 1 species